rnacentral:rRNA from 1 species
UACGUAGGGGGCAAGCGUUGUCCGGAAUUAUUGGGCGUAAAGAGCGUGUAGGCGGUCCGGUAAGUCAGCUGUGAAAGUCAAGGGCUCAACCCUUGAAAGCCGGUUGAUACUGUCGGGCUAGAGUCCGGAAGAGGCGAGUGGAAUUCCCGGUGUAGCGGUGAAAUGCGCAGAUAUCGGGAGGAACACCCGUGGCGAAGGCGGCUCUCUGGGACGGUACUGACGCUGAGACGCGAAAGCUAGGGGAGCAAACGGG